rnacentral:rRNA from 1 species
AGUGGUCGACGAGUGGCGGACGGGUGAGUAACGCGUAGGAAUCUACCUAGUAGUGGGGGAUAGCCAAGGGAAACUUUGGGUAAUACCGCAUACGAUCUAAGGAUGAAAGGGGGCCUCUCUUUGAAGCUCUCGCUAUUAGAUGAGCCUGCGUAAGAUUAGCUUGUUGGUGGGGUAAUGGCCCACCAAGGCGACGAUCUUUAGCUGGUCUGANAGGAUGAUCANUCACACUGGAACUGAGACACGGUCCAGACUCCUACGGGAGGCANCAGUCGGGAAUAUUGGACAAUGGGGGAAACCCUGAUCCAGCCAUGCCGCGUGUGUGAAGAAGGCCCUAGGGUUGUAAAGCACUUUUANUAGUGAGGAAGGCUCAGUAGUUAAUACCUACUGGGAUUGACGUUAGCUACAGAAAAAGCACCGGCUAAUUUCGUGCCAGCAGCCGCGGUAAUACGAAAGGUGCAAGCGUUAAUCGGAAUUACUGGNCGUAAAGCGCGCGUAGGCGGCUUGGUAAGUUGGAUGUGAAAGCCCCGGGCUCAACCUGGGAACUGCAUCCAAAACUGCCUAGCUAGAGUAUGGUANAGGAUGGCGGAAUUUCCUGUGUAGCGGUGAAAUGCGUAGAUAUAGGAAGGAACAUCAGUGGCGAAGGCGGCCAUCUGGACCAAUACUGACGC